rnacentral:rRNA from 1 species
AUUGAACGCUGGCGGCAGGCCUAACACAUGCAAGUCGAACGAGUGGCGGACGGGUGAGUAAUGUCUGGGAAACUGCCUGAUGGAGGGGGAUAACUACUGGAAACGGUAGCUAAUACCGCAUACCAUCAGAUGUGCCCAGAUGGGGUUAGCUAGUUGGUGGGGUAACGGCUCACCAAGGCGACGAUCCCUAGCUGGUCUGAGAGGAGGACCAGCCACACUGGAAUGGAGACACGGUCCAGACUCCAACGGGAGGGAGCGGUGGGGAAUAUUGCACAAUAGGCGCAAGCCUGGUGCAGCCAUGCCGCGUGUAUGAAGAAGGCCUUCUGUUUGUAAAGUACUUUCAGCGGGGAGGCGUUACCCGCAGAAGAAGCACCGGCUAACUCCGUGCCAGCAGCCGCGGUAAUUC